CAAUACCCGAUGCGUCUGAAGGUACCUCCAAAGGAAGCUCCUGCUAACUCCGUGCCAGCAGCCGCGGUAAUACGGAGGGAGCAAACGUUGUUCGGAUUUACUGGGUGUAAAGGGUGCGUAGGCGGCUACGUGUGUCAGAGGUGAAAGCUCACGGCUCAACCGUGGAACUGCCUUUGAAACUGCGUAGCUUGAGUCCGAGAGAGGAUGGUGGAAUUCCUGGUGUAACGGUGAAAUGUGCAGAUAUCAGGAAGAACACCGGUGGCGAAGGCGGCCAUCUGGCUCGGUACUGACGCUGAGGCACGAAAGCUAGGGUAUCGAACGGGAUUAGAUACCCCGGUAGUCCUAGCCGUAAACGAUGUCCACUAGGUGUCGGAGGUCCUACCCCUUCGGUGCCGGAGCUAACGCAUUAAGUGGACCACCUGGGGAGUACGCUCGCAAGGGUGAAACUCAAAGGAAUUGACGGGGGCCCGCACAAGCGGUGGAGCAUGUGGUUUAAUUCGAUGCAACGCGAAGAACCUUACCUGGGCUUGACAUGCAGGGGACAGGUGUAGAGAUACACCCUUCUUCGGACUCCUGUACAGGUGCUGCAUGGCUGUCGUCAGCUCGUGUCGUGAAAUGUUGGGUUAAGUCCCGCAACGAGCGCAACCCUUGUCCUUAGUUGCCAGCACGUCAUGGUGGGAACUCUAGGGAGACUGCCGGUGACAAACCGGAGGAAGGUGGGGACGACGUCAAGUCAUCAUGGCCCUUACGUCCAGGGCUACACACGUGCUACAAUGGCACAUACAGAGGGCAGCGAACCCGCGAGGGGAAGCCAAUCCCAAAAAGUGUGCCUCAGUUCGGAUCGCAGUCUGCAACUCGACUGCGUGAAGUCGGAAUCGC
rnacentral:rRNA from 1 species